CGUAUAGCUAACAAUAAGCUGUUGAAAACACAUGAAAUAUUUGUAUUCUCUUACUAACAAAGGCACCCGAAUUAUUCGUUACACUAUUUCUGAUAAUUUUUUUAUUGACAACACGACUAAAUAAGCAACAACCACAUACAGUAGGAAGUUCUAAACACAGGCUAGGAACAGGACUCUAAAUUUCGCCGUCUAGACUAUGUAACCACCAUGUUAUUUAUAACCCUUUGUAUCCUUGCCUACAAAAUUAUCAUAAGAAUGAGAAAAAUACUGGAGCUUCUCUUUCAUUAGUCAGAAAUUCUGAUCUCAACUCCCAGUAGGUCCUUCACUUGCUCAUACGCCACGAAAGCAAUAGAUAUUGAAGGAACAACCUUCACUGAAUUGGGCACUAAACCCUUGUACAAGGCUCUGACACCCUCAUACUUCACAGUUUUCCUGAAAGCAUCAAUCAUUCCAGUAUAUUCGAGAGGAGCCUUGCUCCUCCCAUCACCAGUAACAAUAGAUGCAGCAUGACUCCAUCCCACCAUCUGCAUCCUUCUACGAAUAACAUCAAGAGGGUAGGCAACCGUUUGUCCAACUGUUCCUGCAGCAGCUCCACAUGCCAGCCUUGUAACAACCCCAAGCUCAGAAUUAUCAACAAGACCAAAUGGUUUUGUUUUGACCAACCAGUCUUUUAAAGAUUCAUAUACAGCAAAAUUAAGCCCCACAUAUGGAAUAACUCCUAUGACAGAAGGAGUCCAUCCUUUGUACAAAGCUCGUGGACCCUCCUCGCGAAGCACAGUUGACAGUGCAUGAAACAUUCCUCUGUAUUGAUAAGGAGAGUUCUCAGUCUGCACAGUCAGUCUUCCUCGCACCAUAUCCAUUGGGUAAGUUGCAGACAUG
rnacentral:misc_RNA from 1 species